UAGUAGGCUGAUGGAUUGAGAGAUGAAGGCUGAGAGGCUGGAUGGAAGUCCGAGAAAAUGUGGGAGUAGAUAUGUGGCGUAAGGAUAAUAAUCCAUGAAGGGCGAGAGGUUCGUCCUGGUCCUCGCAAGGCAGAUAGGGGAGAUAGUGCUUCUCUUAUGAGAAGGGCGUCGUGAACACAGUUAAGUGGCUCGUCUGUAGCUCCCAGAGGUGAGUACACCUUGUUGUAUACGGGGCGAUGAGGGGUCAAGAAGACCGGCGUAUACCUUAA
rnacentral:sRNA from 12 species